GAUGAACGCUGACAGAAUGCUUAACACAUGCAAGUCAACUUGAAUUUGGGUUUUUAACUUAGGUUUGGGUGGCGGACGGGUGAGUAACGCGUAAAGAACUUGCCUCACAGCUAGGGACAACAUUUGGAAACGAAUGCUAAUACCUAAUAUUAUGAUAAUAGGGCAUCCUAUAAUUAUGAAAGCUAUAAGCGCUGUGAGAGAGCUUUGCGUCCCAUUAGCUAGUUGGAGAGGUAACGGCUCACCAAGGCGAUGAUGGGUAGCCGGCCUGAGAGGGUGAUAGGCCACAAGGGGACUGGGACACGGCCCUUACGCAAUAGGGAGGCAGCAGUGGGGAAUAUAGGAUAAUGGACCGAGAGUCUGAUCCAGCAAUUCUGUGUGCACGAUGAAGUUUUUCGGAAUGUAAAGUGCUUUCAGUUGGGAAGAAACAAAUGACGGUACCAACAGAAGAAGAGACGGCUAAAUACGUG
rnacentral:rRNA from 1 species